rnacentral:rRNA from 1 species
AGAGUUUGAUCCUGGCUCAGAACGAACGCUGGCGGCGCGUUUUAAGCAUGCAAGUCGAACGGUAAGCACGGUGCUUGCACUGUGCUGAGAGUGGCGAACUGGUGAGUAACACGUAGGUGAUCUACCUUGAGGCCUGGGAUAGCCUGUGGAAACACAGGGUAAGACCGGAUGAGCCCCUGUACUUGCGGGUAGAGGGGGAAAGGUGCUAUGGCACCGCCUUAAGAUGAGCCUGCGGCCCAUUAGUUAGUUGGUGGGGUAACGGCCUACCAAGGCGACGAUGGGUAGCCGGCCUGAGAGGGUGAUCGGCCACACUGGGACUGAGACACGGCCCAGACACCUACGGGUGGCAGC